GUUAAGGUUAGUGGCGCACGGGUGAGUAACACGUGGGGAACCUGCCCUUUAGUGGGGGAUAACAGUCGGAAACGACUGCUAAUACCGCAUAGACAAUCUAACCGCCUGGUUAGCUUGGGAAAGGUGCUACGGCAUCAUUAAAGGAUGGCCCCGCGGUGCAUUAGCUAGUUGGUAAGGUAACGGCUUACCAAGGCGAUGAUGCAUAGCCGACCUGAGAGGGUGAUCGGCCACAUUGGGACUGAGACACGGCCCAAACUCCUACGGGAGGCAGCAGUAGGGAAUCUUCCGCAAUGGACGCAAGUCUGACGGAGCAACGCCGCGUGUGUGAAGAAGGUUUUCGGAUCGUAAAGCACUGUUGUUAGAGAAGAACGGCUACUAGAGGAAAUGUUAGUAGAUUGACGGUAUCUAACCAGAAAGCCACGGCUAACUACGUGCCAGCAGCCGCGGUAAUAC
rnacentral:rRNA from 1 species